rnacentral:rRNA from 1 species
GAUGAACGCUGGCGGCGUGCUUAACACAUGCAAGUCGAACGGAAAGGCCCAAUCUUUCUUGGAUGCUCGAGUGGCGAACGGGUGAGUAUCACGUGGGUGAUCUGCCCUGCUCUUUGGGAUACGCCUGGUAAACUGGGUCUAUUACCGGGUAUGACCAUCUUUUAGUGUCGUUGUUGGAUUGUUUUUCGGUGUGGGAUGAGCUCGCGGCAUAUCAGCUUGUUGUUGGGGUAAUGGACUACCAAGGCGUCGGCGGGUAGCCGGCCUGGGAGGGUGUACGGCCACAAAGGGACUGAGGAAGGGGCCAGACGGAAACGGGAGGCAGCAGUGAGGAAUAGUGCACAAUGGGCGGAAGCAUGAUGCAGCGAUGUCGGGUGGGGGAUGACGGUCGUCGGGUAGUAAACUCCGUGAGCGAAGGAAGAAGCGUUAGGGGACGGUACUUGGAGAAGAAGCACCGGCUAACUACGUG